CUACGCUGCGAUAAGCCGUGGGGAGCUGCGAAGAAGCUUUGAUCCACGGAUUUCCGAAUGGGGAAACCCACCUUCGAUAGCCGGAACUCCAAGACCUUGUGUUUUGGGGUUCGACCAGAAAUGGAAGAAAUCAGACCGCGAGGUUUUGGAUUUCCGGUUAUCAAGAGAAGGUAUGAGACUUCCGAAUAAAAUAGGAGGUUUUAAGCGAACCCAGGGAACUGAAACAUCUAAGUACCUGGAGGAAAGGACAUCAAUCGAGACUCCGUUAGUAGUGGCGAGCGAACGCGGACCAGGCCAGUGAUACAUCAAAGACAAUCGGAACCUGUCAGGAAAGCAGGGCCUCAGAGGGUGAUAGCCCCGUACGAGUAAUGCGAUGAUGUAUCCACGAGUAAGGCGGGACACGUGUAAUCCUGUCUGAACACGGGGGGACCACCCUCCAAGCCUAAGUACUCCUCAGCGACCGAUAGU
rnacentral:rRNA from 4 species